rnacentral:rRNA from 1 species
GACGAACGCUGGCGGCGUGCUUAACACAUGCAAGUCGAGCGGUAAGGCCCUUUCGGGGGUACACGAGCGGCGAACGGGUGAGUAACACGUGGGUGACCUGCCCUCAGCUCUGGGAUAAGCCUGGGAAACCGGGUCUAAUACUGGAUAUGACUCCAUGACGCAUGUUGUGGGGUGGAAAGCCUUGUGCGGCUGAGGAUGGGCCCGCGGCCUAUCAGCUUGUUGGUGGGGUGAUGGCCUACCAAGGCGACGACGGGUAGCCGGCCUGAGAGGGCGACCGGCCACACUGGGACUGAGACACGGCCCAGACUCCUACGGGAGGCAGCAGCGGGGAAUCUUGCGCAAUGGGCGAAAGCCUGACGCAGCGACGCCGCGUGAGGGAUGACGGCCUCGGUU